UACGGGUCCGAUUCGGGAGCAUCUCUAGAUUUUAAUCUUAAUAACUUGGUCGGAUUCUGUGAUAAAUGCCUAACGUGUUGCGUCGUAUUUCGUUUUUGAGUUACAAUUGAGUUUUAACUGGCCUGUAAUUAAUUUAUUAUAAAUAUAAAUUAGCAGCCCUGGUCACAGCUGUUUACGGUUUUACGUUGUGUUAUCUCAUUUUACAAUUGGUAAACAAUCAAACACAGAAACGGUACAUUUAUAAUCUAAACUGUACAAGCCAAACAAUUAUGCAAGAACACUUCGAAAAAAGUUAUUAAUUCUAUAAUUAUAGAGUUUAGAAGAUGUAUAAUUUGUUAAAAAUUAAACAUGAAAAUGAUGAAACAUAAGAACACUCCUUUGAAAAAUCGUUUGAAGUUAUUGAACCUAAACCGUUAGAUGUGCAGUUCAAAAACAAUGAAAUUUCUACAACUGAAGAGUAUUUGGUAAAGAAAGAAGUCAACAAUACUUAUAAUUAUAAUAGAGUAGUAAGCAAAUCUAUGAAAAUAUAAAAUAAUGUACUAUUUAGUUAGGUAGAGAAACAUUUGCAU